UGCAUUUCUGUGUGUGGUCUUAGCUGCAACAGACAUGGAACUGGUUUCAUAUUUUGUUUUACGCUCCUUUGUUAGGCGGUGGAUUUGAUGGAUUGGCAAACGUGGCCGCGUAUCUUGGCCGUGGCAAGCUGCUGGCGAGAUGCAACCGGCUUGGUUGUGGACAUUCGCGUCGAGCGGCGGCCGCCAGGGGAGUAGUAGCACCAGAGGAGAGCAGCUGGAGUGGAACGGCGCCGGCGAAGAGGCGACGGGUUCAGUGGAUCCCGCUCUGCAUCGACGGCUGGUGGAGCGGCGACGCCGCGCGGUUCGUGGACCCGCCUACCUGACCUUUCUCCUCGCGUGAGCUCUCCCCUGUCUCCAUCUUCCUCUGGACGAGCCUCUUCAUGAACGGCGGCCGUGCCCUAGAUCCAGUCCUCCUCCGACAUAGUCGGCGCGCCGACGCACUCUGACACGAGUGGCCUUGGCAGCCGGCGGAGGAACAGGCUAUGCAGAAGAUGGAUACGUAGGAGCAGGAGGAGGCACGAGAAGAGCCAGGGGACAACACGACUGAGGCCUCGAUUGACACCGGCAAGCUCCUACCGGCAGGCCUCUUCAACGUCGAGAAGAAGGGGCACCGGAUGGCCGGUGUCAGGGAAGGUCGGACGAAAUCGACGAGGAAGGGGCCUUCGCCAUCCUCUGCCUCUACGCACAUCAACAUUGAAGCCAGAGAGAUGUCAGUCGUCAACGACUAAAUGGUGACUGCUUGGACAUCGCCGAUACUUGCCACAGUUGUGCCUCCGCCUCAUUGCACAAUCAGAGCUUACGCGAGCGCGUGAAUCACGGCCAAUGUUAUUUGGGUUUUUUUUCAUGGUGAAAUUUCUAUUCUGGACAAUCGCACUGAAUCCCUGGAUUCCCUAUUCCCAUCUCCUCCAUCCCAAAAGAAAAGAUAGGCAGACUACGUUUAAUGGUAACUGGCUAGCUUCUGUGUCUGAUAAUUUAAUAUGUUUCUCUUCAAUUGAUUCUCCCGUGAUUUUUGACAGCUCUGUACCGUGCCCAUAUACGUUUGAGAUUCUGAUGUUUCAGAUCGCUUGACAUAUGCAAUUAAAAAUAUAGAAGUUGCUCUUCUUACUUUAUUUAUUGAGCUCCUGACUUAUUUUCCUUGGUUGGUGCUGCUUGCGUCUUUGAUUUAAGGGCAGGUUUUGGGCAUGGCCGGGAAGAGAUACCCCGAAAUCAGAAAUUGCCUCAUAUUCACGAAUCUCGAUUUAGCAUGCAUUGUGUGCAGUUCUAAGGGACUCAAUUUGAUGGAAAUUAACGUUGAUUACUGGAAUGCACUUCACUGGUGUACUGUUGUUAUGGAUGGAUGGGUGAGUGUCCCUUUUCUAUUUAAAUGACGAUACUGCAAUGUUUAAACGAACUCCUUUAAAUGCAAGUGUUUUUAAGCUGUCCGACAUGCUCACUCUAUUUUUUGCGCAACAUAUGGUUGUAUUGGUCUUAGAUACUUAAGCACUGCAACAUAUGUUUCCAUGUAAACCUGACAUAUAUAUUCUCAAAUAAUCCAUUUGGUCAAAGGUAUGGUUGGCACAUUUUCGUGCCGUUCAAUUUCCGGUAUGAAU